AAGUAGCAGAACUGGAGGUGAGAGUGGAGUGUAUCCCUAUAGAAGAGAGCAAGAGAAAGGUUUGAGAGAUAGAAGUUACUCUUGGAAGCCAUAAGCAAUCCUGAAAAGAUGGGUUUUGAGGGACUUCUUAAAGGAAUGAAGACUAAGGGAGAGUGGGGGCGGGGCCUGACCGUCAUGCUGACUGGUCGCAGGCCAGAGAGGCUCCUGACAAAUUUGGUCCCCUAUGGCACAAAAUUUUAACAUCAAAGCAAUCUGAGUGACCAGAAGCCCUCUUAAGCACCCAAGCAGAAGCCGGAGCCACCACAGUCCCUGAGAUCAGGAGUUCCAGAGCCCCCAGCGGGCGAUAUGGG